CCCGCUUGGUCGAUCAAUCUCCGUCUUCUGGUUUCUUAUAUCACCAGAUCCAGAUCCAGAUCCAGAACAAGAAAUUGAAAUUGAAAUUCCGUCAUUAUUAUCACUCACCGCAUCAAGUUGGUUCUUGUUGUCGGUCUGAGUGGAAGCAUUAGCAGCAUUGGUGCAUGCGUUUGCCUUGUAAACCUUGACGGCGGUGGUGGAUGAAGACGACGAGUCUGCAUGAUCGGCAUCGGAGCUUAACGUGUCGUCAAAAGAGUUAGUACCUUUGAGAGACAAGAGUGUAGAAGAAGAGAAUGGAACCUCCAUGAGAUGUGGAUGCUCCAGCUGGCCAUUUCGGGAGAGAUAGUAUACUACUACUGCGGCUCUCAUCCUUGCUUCGCCUUCAACCACCAUUUCCAUUCUUUCUAGCAUCAGAAAGCAAGCACAGGACAAUUGGUAAAAGAUGGUGUGGUUUGUUUGUUUGGGCAGAUGCUGGGCAAGAGGCUGUCCCUGCAAAAUCAGAAAGUCUUAACUAUAAUGAAGAGCAGAAGAUGACAGAAGGUUGGAGGCUGGAAAAUUAGAAUCGGAUGUUAGGAGUCAAAAGCUUAUGAUCAAAUUAUUGUUUG